GAAUUUUUUCUUGUUAUAAAACACUACUGCAGGAUGUGAUGCACUUGCCUGUGCGGUAUGUACUUUUGUUAUUGUCUUUGGUUGGCCAUAGCAAGUGUAUCUCUUUCAUAUUUUGUUGAUGAUGUUUAUCAGUUUGCGUCCUUGGCCUUUGGGAGUAUUAUUAUGUCUGGAGGGACUGCUUUCUGGUUCCGGGUGAUAACAGUUGUUCUGUUUCAUUUGGCAACAUGGGAGCAGUGCUGAUUGGUGGGCUCAACCUUUUGGAAAGUCUCCGCCAUUUCUGAGCUGGGUUCCGUUGAUAAAUGAAAUCCCAACAAACAAGGUUACGCUGUUUGCAAUAAUAGUUUUUGCUAUUAUACCAACGAGCUUAUUCAACUUUACCCGUUUGUUGUGCUUGUGGGAGGAGUCCUGAUAUGGUACAUAACUAUUCAUGCUAUUUGUUUUUCACAUGCUUAGCUUGGGGAUCAUAUUUGAUCAUUUUUGUUUUUAAUAUGGUUGUUAUUUCUUGUGCAGGGAUUAUUUGUCAAUAUGGUGGUCUGCGAUCUGUCUGGCUUCAGAAAGAUCCUCUAUUGAUCUGUCUUGAUUUUUAAAUAUUGUGAAAUUUCUAAAUUUCUAAUGCUACACAUUAGAAACUCUCCCAGAAAUACAUUACAAAUCAUCAUCAUGGUUUGUGGGCCUUAUUAAAGAUAAUAUAGUACUGAGAACACCAUACAUUCUGUUGAAUGAUGGAAUAUGAUCUUCAGGUGGUGAUGUCAAAUGGCAUCAUUACAGAAGAGAGAAUACAAAUUAAUAGUCAACUAUAUAUGGUGGUGACUAUCAACACCAAAUAAUAGUUUGUAUUUAUAUAAAUCAUCGAUAUAUAAAAUUUAUUAGAGAGCUGCUAUAAAUUAUUUUUUGUUUUGAACAUUUUUUUAUAUCACUGAACAAUACAUGCAUGAUAAAUAUAAUAUCAUAUAUUAGUGUUUGCUUUUUCUAAUACUUACCUCUAAAUAAAAACGAUUAGAAAUAAAACUACCCAAUAGUCACAAACUUAACUUUUUUCCAAGUAUAAAAAGUUCUGUUUUAAAAGUAGACUGCCUACCUCUCCUUUGAGGAGUGAAUUGGUUGGGUUAGUCAAUCGAAUUAUAUUCUCGGCAGUCAAGUGCCACACCCCUUAUCCGAUAUUCAGUCAUGGGCAUCUCCUUUUGCCUCUGAACCGAUAUUGCCAUGUAAUGAAACAUGUUCAUCAUCCAUUCAUUCAUUAUAUAUCAAUCUAGAUAUAUAGAUUAAAAAAAUAUAGAUAUUUCUUUUUUCUUCUUUCUUUUCCUUUGGUGGUCAAAAUUAUGUUUGUGUAACAUUGUGGCAGCAGUGUAACACUCGUUUCAUCACAACAUGAUAUAUUAGGAGCCUUCAGAAGCCUUGGCAAUACUGGUUUCAUUAGAAGGCUUCUGAAAAGCUGUUUUAUCACACAGCAGCACACACAGCUGGGGUACUGAUUGUGGUUAGUUCUGGAUUGAAAUUUAAUUCACAUGAAAGGUUCAUUGAGGAAGAUACGAGUUAUUGACAAUAUGGAUCAAUUUCAGUUGCCAUGUUGGUUUCUGCUGUGUGGCACUAUAUUGGAUCUGGAAUGGUGGCUGAUCCAAUUUAUUCUAUACACAUAAGAAUGCUAUUGUUUUAUUUACAAUUUGAUAAUGAUAGUCAUUUAAUUUGCUAAUGUGACCUUU